rnacentral:rRNA from 1 species
GACGAACGCUGGCGGCGUGCUUAACACAUGCAAGUCGAACGGAAAGGCCCUGCUUUUGUGGUUUGCUCGAGUGGCGAACUGGUGUGUAACACGUGAGUAUCCUCCCCUUUACUUUCUGAUAACUUCAGGAAACUGGGGCUAAUACCGGAUAGUAGCUCCUGCUGCAUGUUGUGGGUUGGAAAGUUUCGGCGGUUGUGGAUUGACUCGCGGCUUAUCAGCUUGUUGGUGGGGUAGUGGCUUACCAAGUCUUUGACGGGUAGCCGGCCUGUGAGGGUGACCGGCAACAUUGGGACUGAGAUACGGACCAGACUCAUACGGGAGGCAGCAGUGGGGAAUAUUGCAGAAUGGGCGGAAGCAUGAUGUAGAAACGCCGCGUGCGGGAAGACGGGCUUCGGGUUGUAAACAGAUUUCGAAUGUGACGAAGAGUGAGUGACGGUAAUGGGUAAAGAAGCACCGGCUAACUACGUG